UCCCAUGGAUGAAAUAUUUAGUAAUCUGGAGCUUUGCAAAGUUGGUGCUCCCUCUUGCAAUGGAGGUUGAGGAACCAUCUCUUUAUUGCUAUGCCAGGUAGAAAAUAGGCAUUUCUGAGGGAC